CUAAAGAGGAGCAGUUUAUUGGGGCAGAUUUUGAUAAAGAGAAUGGGUGCCAUACAUCAGACCUCACAUUAAAUCAGGUAUGAAACGAGAGAUGUCGUCCUCUGUUGCUGGUCUAUCUGUAUAAAUAAGAGGAAGAGCUCAUCCAGGAGUGCAAUUGUGGGAAUGCACAGAGAAUUGCUGUCUGUCAGAGGGAUGACCAACCAUGAGGACUUCUGCAUUGUCUUGGAGGAUAAGCAAGUCAUGGCUAGCCUGGAAAAUCUAGAAUCGCUGAACUGGAUUUAUACAAAUAUUCCACAAAUUAAAAUCACUUACAAAGAAACGAAUAUUAAGUUUGCAAUACACAAAUUCUGUCAAAUAUUGUCUAAAAUGUGACUAUUCCUACAAAGGAAAGUUGACAGGUCAGUUUUUUCCAUGACAUGGAUAAAGGAAUUUUUAUCAGAGAUUAGCAUU